UACGAAGGGGGCGAGCGUUGUCCGGAAUUACUGGGCGUAAAGAGCUCGUAGGUGGUUUGUCGCGUUGUCCGUGAAAACUCACAACUCAAUUGUGGGCGUGCGGGCGAUACGGGCAGACUGGAGUACUGCAGGGGAGACUGGAAUUCCUGGUGUAGCGGUGGAAUGCGCAGAUAUCAGGAGGAACACCGGUGGCGAAGGCGGGUCUCUGGGCAGUAACUGACGCUGAGGAGCGAAAGCGUGGGGAGCGAACAGG
rnacentral:rRNA from 1 species